ensembl:snRNA U2 U2 spliceosomal RNA
AUCGCUUCUCGGCCUUUUGGCUAAGAUCAAGUGUAGAAGGGGGAGUAUGUAUGUAUAUUAUUUGAAACGCUGUAAGGAAGGCUGGUGUUUUGUCCCCCAUUUACAUAUUUAUUUGAUUAUUUGUAUCAGUAUGGACUCGUGAAUAGUUAUU